rnacentral:rRNA from 1 species
AACGAACGCUGGCGGCGUGGAUAAGACAUGCAAGUCGAACGGGACUAAAUCUGUAGCAAUACGGGUUUAGUUUAGUGGCGAACGGGUGCGUAACACGUGGGCAAUCUGCCGAGAAGUGGGGAUAGCUCGCCGAAGGACGAAUUAAUACCGCAUAUGAUCAGUGAAGACAUCUUCACGACAUCAAAGCCGGGCGAACCUGGCGCUUCUUGAUGAGCCCGCGGCCAUCAGCUAGUU